rnacentral:rRNA from 1 species
AGGGCUUGACAUCCCGUGAAGACCGGGGAAACCCGGGGGGCCCUUCGGGGACACGGAGAC